UUCAGCAAGAGACUCCACUCCAGACUGCUGCAACUCAGAACCUCUCUCUUCCCACAGCUCCCAGUCAGAGACCAGCAUAUCAGCAUUUCUCAUCUUGCCCCUAGCUACCUGAUGCUGAAGGUUAAAGAUGAGAACAAAAGGAAGAUUUCAAGCUGGAAUUGCAGAAGGAGGAUUUGAGAUUAAUGCUGGGUCUGAAAAUUGAGCAAAGGUGUAAUGGUAAGAUUGAGUGAGAGGAGAUGGUGGUCUAAAUGAAGGAAUUAUUGUUGAAAAUGUUAAAAAUGCAGCAGAAUAGCCUGGGCAAAAUGGUGAGACUUUGUCUCUACAAA
rnacentral:lncRNA from 1 species